CAGCGGAAGAAAAGGCAAAAGAAACAAGAAACGCGGAAGAAAAGGCAGAAGAAACAAGAAACGACGAUGUCAAUGUAAAGUUGCUUCUGUAAAGACAAUCAAUAACUGUAGAAAAACCGGAAAAAGGAAGACAUGUUCAAAGGUGAAACAGUACUUCUUCACAAAAAACAAUGUAGCUACCCAUUUGAUGAUUCAAACACAGGAGAGACUGAUGACUCAGGAUCAAAUGACGAAACCGGUUCACAUGACGGAUCAUAUGAUGAGAUUGGACAUAACGAUGGAACAGGAUCAGACGAUGGCACGGUAUCUAACGAUGAAACUGGGUCGGACGAUGGGAAUGCCGAUGGGACAGGGACUGGCGGUGGACUUGAUGAAGAUGCGGGCGAAACACCA